rnacentral:rRNA from 1 species
UGUUUCGGCUAGGGGGCCAUCCCGGCUUACCAACCCGAUGCAAACUGCGAAUACCGGAGAAUGUUAUCACGGGAGACACACGGCGGGUGCUAACGUCCGUCGUGAAGAGGGAAACAACCCAGACCGCCAGCUAAGGUCCCAAAGUCAUGGUUAAGUGGGAAACGAUGUGGGAAGGCCCAGACAGCCAGGAUGUUGGCUUAGAAGCAGCCAUCAUUUAAAGAAAGCGUAAUAGCUCACUGGUCGAGUCGGCCUGCGCGGAAGAUGUAACGGGGCUAAACCAUGCACCGAAGCUGCGGCAGCGACGCUUAUGCGUUCGUUGGGUAGGGGAGCGUUCUGUAAGCCUGUGAAGGUGGCCUGUGAGGGUUGCUGGAGGUAUCAGAAGUGCGAAUGCUGACAU